GUAGGACAUGGUCUAAUGCAAAAAGGUGUCUUAAAUGUACAUAAAUCAAUAUCUGUCCAUCUGUCCAUCUGUCUCUAUCUAUCUAUCUUUCUAUGACAUGUGCGUUAUGUUUGGGUCCAUUUAAAUGCAUAGAAACCUCCCCUUACCAGUACAUAGAAAUAACAGCUUUGCAGUUUUCUGAGCUGUUUUGAUAGAGGAAAUUACACAGGCAACAAAUCUUACAUCUCAAAUGCAACAGAGCUCCAACAGAAGAAAUGGAAAUGCCUCUACAUUCCUAUGGAAUGGAAUGGAUUUAUAUACUUUUUUAUAUUGCAUUUUCAUUGUUGGUUGUUGUGUGAUUUGCUUGGCGACUAGACUUGUGUAAAGAAAAAUUUGCUUUGGAUGAAUCACUUCUAGAAAUAAUAUUUCUGUCAUAUUUCAAUUUGUGAUAACAAAAAGGGUCAGUCAUUGAACUGCAAAAUAUAUAGGUUAUAUAAAUAUUAU